rnacentral:rRNA from 1 species
AUUGAACGCUAGCGGGAGGCUUUACACAUGCAAGUCGAACGAGUGGCGGACGGGUGAGUAAUAUAUCGGAACGUGCCCAGUAGCGGGGGAUAACUACUCGAAAGAGUGGCUAAUACCGCAUUCUAUGGUAGCGGCCGAUAUCAGAUUAGCUAGUUGGUGGGGUAAAGGCUCACCAAGGCAACGAUCCGUAGCUGGUUUGAGAGGACGACCAGCCACACUGGAACUGAGACACGGCCCAGACUCCUACGGGAGGCAGCAGUGGGGAAUUUUGGACAAUGGGGGAAAGCCUGAUCCAGCCAUCCCGCGUGUAUGAGAAGGCCUUCGGGUUGUAAAGUACUUUUAGCAGGGAAGCGUUAUCUGCAGAAUAAGCACCGGCUAACUACGUGCCAGCAGCCGCGGUAAUUC